CGGUAUUAGACCUGGUAUUAAAACGCUAAGCUUAUAUAUAGCUUGUUUCCGUUGACUCUAUUUGCUUGCUUUGGGAGCAAGAUGCCGCAGGUUCAAAUCCUGUCAUCCCGA
rnacentral:tRNA from 1 species